rnacentral:rRNA from 1 species
CUACGGGUGGCUCCAGUGGGGAAUAUUGCACAAUGGAGGAAACUCUGAUGCAGCAACGCCGCGUGGAGGAUGACACUUUUCGGAGCGUAAACUCCUUUUAUAUAGGAAGAAGAUGACGGUACUAUAUGAAUAAGCGCCGGCUAACUCCGUGCCAGCAGCCGCGGUAAUACGGAGGGCGCAAGCGUUACUCGGAAUCACUGGGCGUAAAGAGCGUGUAGGCGGAUUAAAAAGUCAGAAGUGAAAUCCUAUAGCUUAACUAUAGAACUGCUUCUGAAACUCUUAAUCUAGAAUAUGGGAGAGGUAGAUGGAAUUUCUGGUGUAGGGGUAAAAUCCGUAGAGAUCGGAAGGAAUACCGAUUGCGAAGGCGAUCUACUAGAACAUUAUUGACGCUGAGACGCGAAAGCGUGGGGAGCAAACAGGAUUAGAUACCCGCGUAGUC